UGACCUCGGAUCAGGUAGGGAUACCCGCUGAACUUAAGCAUAUCAAUAAGCGGAGGAAAAGAAACCAACAGGGAUUGCCCCAGUAACGGCGAGUGAAGCGGCAAGAGCUCAAAUUUGAAAGCUGGCUCCUUCGGGGUCCGCAUUGUAAUUUGCAGAGGAUGCUUCGGGAGCGGUCCCCAUCUAAGUGCCCUGGAACGGGACGUCAUAGAGGGUGAGAAUCCCGUAUGGGAUGGGGUGUCCGCGCCCGUGUGAAGCUCCUUCGACGAGUCGAGUUGUUUGGGAAUGCAGCUCUAAAUGGGUGGUAAAUUUCAUCUAAAGCUAAAUAUUGGCCGGAGACCGAUAGCGCACAAGUAGAGUGAUCGAAAGAUGAAAAGCACUUUGAAAAGAGAGUUAAAAAGCACGUGAAAUUGUUGAAAGGGAAGCGCUUGCGACCAGACUCGCUCGCGGGGUUCAGCCGGCAUUCGUGCCGGUGUACUUCCCCGCGAGCGGGCCAGCGUCGGUUUGGGCGGUCGGUCAAAGGCCUCUGGAAGGUAACGCCCCCUCGGGGGCGUCUUAUAGCCAGGGGUGCAAUGCGGCCUGCCCGGACCGAGGAACGCGCUUCGGCUCGGACGCUGGCAUAAUGGUCGUAAGCGACC
rnacentral:rRNA from 1 species